GCCUGCACCUUUCAAUGAGAGUCCUACAGGAGUCGGAGAGUUCAAAGGUGAAAGCUCCAAGAAGUGUUAAGAUAAUCAAGGCUAUCUCGGCCUACUCAAAGAACCCCAAAAAUGACCAGGAAAGAUGGGCACUCAAAGAGGCAUUGCAAGAGAGGAGGCAUUCCCUUGUUAGUAACUUUUUCAGGCAGCCAAGGACAUAUUUCCAGAAAAUCCACCAGCAUGGCACAGAACCACGUGCAAUUCAACAAGUCAAAGCUUUUUCCUCUCCAACAGGACCUGGGUCAUCGUCCUGGAAAACGAAGAAGGAACUUUUCCCUGAGUGUUCACAUCAUCCAAGAAGUCAUGGAUGGCUUCAGGAGAAGUUUGGAAAGUAUCUUUGGACAGGAUGGACACAUUGAGCUCGUUCCUAUUCAGCCAAUCUUUCAUCCUUCCUCUCUUUCCUCCCUUCUCCUCUUCUCGGUGCUGCAGAGUGAGUUUAAGGCCCUUUGCAUUCUGGUUCAUUGCUCUGCAACUGAAACGUCUCUUUAAGUUACCUUUAAGUUACAAAGGGGAUUCGAAGGCAGAGGACAGAAGCAGCCCUUCCUUCCCCAUGCUCUCUCUCCUCAAACUGUACAAUUUAUUUUAUUGUUGGCAGACUUUGUAAGUUGCCUGCUCUAGCUACGCUUUUGAGUAUCUAUUGUAUACUUAGUCUCAUAAUGAGGUUUGACACUCAUCCUUUUCCUCUUCUGGUGCUUCCAGCUUCUCAGACUAAGCAGCUGCCAAUUUCCCUGACUGUCUAAGUUUGCCUAUGGCCAUUAUGUAACUUUGCAGCCUCUGUGGUCACAUGAAUCAGUCUACUAACCUCCUCAUAUAUGUGUGUGGGAGCUCCAAUGUGAUAUGCAGUAUAACUUAUGAAUUUAAAUGUUUGUAAUCUCCUUUAUACAACUGCUAAGACCCUGCCAGGAAGUAAUCAAU
rnacentral:lncRNA from 1 species